rnacentral:lncRNA from 1 species
AAAGAAAAUCAGUUUAUGAGACCUAACACAUUAAAUACCAAAAUUCUAAAUCAACUGAUUUGGGUUUCAUCAUCAUUCAAAUCGCUUCAAAAUUUUCAGAUUCACGACAACCCAAAUACUCAAUACACCAAAAACAUUAACUAAUCUAGAUAUAGAGUACAUACCAUAGAAAGCAAAACCAAAAAAAAUUGGUUUCAGACUAUAAUCAAACAUUUAUGUACCCUUAACAAGUAUGACAUCGCCUCGUGGCUAAAAGAAGUGGAUCUGCAAAUAACUUUAGAGGAUUUAGUUGCUCAACUUAGGUUUUGUGUAGUUCAUCUAAACCGACAAAAACGUUAUAGAUUAAAAAAGACUAGGGAUUUAGAUCUUACAGAAUGAGAGAAUAGAGAAGAAUGAGAGAUUUGUGUAACUUGUGUU